rnacentral:sRNA from 1 species
CCAUACCGCAGACAGCUGCCUGGCGGGCGACCCAGCCCCAUCCUGAUGGCCCCAGGACACAAGCCCAGGAGCGCCCCGGUGCGCGCGGUGGCGCGGCCCAGGGGCGCCGGGUUUGGUGGCACAGCGAGCCCCCUUUCUCUCGCGAAACCUGUUUCCCUCAAACCUUGUGGUUGCAGCUUUCCGUACGUAUGCCACCGAUUAUAAAGUCAUGACCCACAACAGCAGCUCUGGAAAUGUAACCCAUGAAAAGAUCCCCAUAGGCACUGAGAUAGAAGGGAUGAACAUUUUAGGAUUGGUCCUGUUUGCUCUGGUGUUAGGAGUGGCCUUAAAGAAACUAGGCUCCGAAGGAGAAGACCUCAUCCGUUUCUUCAAUUCCCUCAAUGAGGCAACGAUGGUGCUGGUGUCCUGGAUUAUGUGGAUGGAGUACAGUGGUGCGAUCUCAGCUCCCUGCAACCUCCACCUUCCGGGUUCAAGCGAUUCUCCUGCCUCAGCUUCCCGAGAAGCUGGGAUUACAGGCGUCCGCCACCAUACCCAGCUAAUUUUUUUUAUUUUUAGUAGAGAGGGGUUUCACCACGUUGGCCAAGCUGGUCUCAAACUCCUGACCUCAGGUGAUCCACCCGCCUCGGCCUCCCAAAGUGCUGGAAUUACAGGUACGUACCUGUGGGCAUCAUGUUCCUUGUUGGAAGCAAGAUUGUGGAAAUGAAAGACAUCAUCGUGCUGGUGACCAGCCUGGGGAAAUACAUCUUCGCAUCUAUAUUGGGCCAU